rnacentral:rRNA from 1 species
UACGAAGGGGGCUAGCGUUGUUCGGAAUCACUGGGCGUAAAGGGCGCGUAGGCGGCUUUAUAAGUCGGGGGUGAAAGCCUGUGGCUCAACCACAGAAUUGCCUUCGAUACUGUAGAGCUUGAGACCGGAAGAGGUAAGUGGAACUGCGAGUGUAGAGGUGAAAUUCGUAGAUAUUCGCAAGAACACCAGUGGCGAAGGCGGCUUACUGGUCCGAUACUGACGCUGAGGUGGCGAAAGCGUGGGGA